CCCUUAGAGUUUGAUCCUGGCUCAGAACGAACGUUGGCGGCGUGGAUUAGGCAUGCAAGUCGAACGAAUCCCAGGGGGCAACUCCUGGGGGAAGUGGCGAAAGGGGCAGUAAGGCGUGGGUAACCUACCUCCGGGAUGGGGAUAGCCUUCCUAACGGAAGGGUAAUACCCGGCGAUCUGGCGAGGGGACAUCCUCUUGCCAGGAAAUGAAUCUCGCCUGGAGAGGGGCCCACGUGGUAUUAGCUUGUUGGCGGGGUAACGGCCCACCAAGGCCAAGAUGCCUAGCAGGUGUGAGAGCACGACCUGCGCCACUGGCACUGUGACACUGGCCAGACUCCUACGGGAGGCUGCAGUCGAGGAUCUUCGGCAAUGGGCGCAAGCCUGACCGAGCGACGCCGCGUGUGCGAUGAAGGCCUUCGGGUUGUAAAGCACUGUCGAGGGGGAGGAAGACCCGCAAGGGUUUGACCUAUCCCUGGAGGAAGCACGGGCUAAGUUCGUGCCAGCAGCCGCGGUAAGACGAACCGUGCGAACGUUGUUCGGAAUCACUGGGCUUAAAGGGCGCGUAGGCGGGCGAUCAAGUCAGGGGUGAAAUCCGUCGGCUUAACCGGCGAAGAGCUUUUGAUACUGGUCGUCUCGAGGGAGGUAGGGGCAU
rnacentral:rRNA from 1 species